AUAUAACUGCCCAAGUGAUAAACUACAAUCUGCUAAGUGAAAUGAGAACUGAACACUAGGGUCUACGUAUUUAUAUCAAUAUAAUGAAAACAAUGAAUUAAAUGAAUGCUUCACACUCCUGUCAUAGACUGUGCCAUUUCCAAGCCCUAACAGGGCUUUAACAGAUUUGUUUGUUAACUCAUUUAUUCACCUACCCGUUCCUUCUUCCUUCUCCCAUUUCCUUCUCUAUAUUUCUCCCUCAGAGGCUGUCCUUGAAACAUGUGCUAGCCAAUGCAGUAUUCGUUUGCCUACAAGAGUCAACUUGGUCCUUCUUGAAUGUGUUUACUGACAGGAAUACCAACUGGAAUCUAUAAUCCUCUAAGAGUUUUCUCUCCAAGGUGAAGUGUGGAUGAAUGCAGCCUUGGUUCUGAACUAUCAUAACACUGCAGCCAAGUGGUUGUAGGUACUAUUAUGAUAAUAAUACUUCAUUCUACAUCAGCAGAUAAGAUACAGAUCAAGAGUUUCAAGAUUUCCUUGUGGAGAUGGAGCUGAUAUGUCGUCAGCUGAAUAACUCGAUAGAAGAAAGAUCAUGGCCUGGCGACAUGAUUGGAAUCUACGUGGAAGAGAGCUGGGAUCGAGAAAGUGGAGCACAUUCUAAAGACUAUGGCUGCCACACAUGGAAUGUGACACCUCUGUGUUGCUAAGGGAAUGUCAUGAAUAGGAAUGAAAGAAAAGAUAUUCAAUCACACAAUAUGCUUUGACAAUAUUAGGCUCUGAAAAAACACAGUCUUCCGUGUACUCACUGUUUUUGCACUGACAAGUUCGACAACCAUUGUGAUCAAGUUUGAAACCAUAAAUGCAGUCCUUCUCUGUCAGGGUGCAGUUUGAUGACUCUCCACACGCAGGUGGAUCAAUUGUGAUGUAGGUUGGUUCUAAUAAUAAAGAGAGAAAAAAAAAUCAAUGAAACAUAUGAUUACCUCUUAGAUGCUAUUCAAUCUUUGAAAUCCCACA